rnacentral:sRNA from 2 species
GGACCCGCAGCGCCAAACCUCGUCCCGCGGGAACGGACCCCCACAAGAACACCCAGGGGACGAGGACGGGGGACCCACACGUCCUCUCGGAUAACCGGAAAUUCACUUCCUCGGCAGAGAAUUUCCUUGGGGUGAAGCCCACGCACUUCCACUUGGAAGCGCUGGGCCGGGCUACCUCUCAGCCCGAACCCGACAGCUGACCUCGCAGGCGCCAGUGGAGAGGAUUU